AUGUUCUCUCAUGCGGGCAUCACUGGGCUGUUGGCCUGGACCUUGCAGCCACAAUGGAUUCAAGUUCGAAAUAUGGCAACUUCGAAAGAUGUUACCAGGCGACUAAAGUCCAUCAAAAACAUCCAGAAAAUUACCAAGUCUAUGCAAAUGGUAGCAGCAGCAAAAUACGCCCGAGCUGAGAGAGAGCUGAAACCAGCUCGAAUAUAUGGAUUGGGAUCUUUGGCUCUGGAGAAAAAGCUGGUAUCGAGGUGCCUGAAGACAACAAGAAACACCUCCUUAUUGGUGUGUCCUCAGAUCGAAGACUGUGUGGCGCUAUUCAUUCCUCCAUUGCUAAACAGAUGAAAAGCGAGGUUGCUACACUAACAGCAGCUGGGAAAGAAGUUAUGCUUGUUGGAAUUGGUGACAAAAUCAGGGGCAUACUUUAUAGGAUGCAUUCUGACCAGUUUCUGGUGGCAUUAAAAGAAGUGAGAAGAAAGCCCCCUACUUUUGGAGAUGUGUCAGUCAUUGCCCUUGAAUUACUGGAUAUGAAUUUGAUGAAGGCUCCAUCAUCUUUAAUCAAUUCAGGUCUGUCAUCUCGUAUAAGACUGAAGAAAAGCCCAUCUUUUCCCUUAAUACCAUUGCAGGUGCCGAGAGCAUGAGUAUCUACUAUAAUAUUGAUGCUGAUGUGCUGCAAAAUUACCAGGAAUACAGUCUGGCCAACAGCAUCUACUACUCUCUGAAGGAGUCCACCACUAGUGAGCAGAGUGCCAGGAUGACAGCCAUGGACAACACCAGCAAGAAUGCUUCUGAGAUGAUUGACAGAUUGACAUUGACAUUCAACUGUACCCACCAAGCUGUCAUCACAAAAGAAUUGACUGAAAUUAUCUUUGGUGCUGUAGCUCUGGAUUAA